GCGUGCAGUUGCUGAGCGUCGUCCUCGCUUUCCUUCUGGCUCUAUGUACUGGCCGAGCAGCCCCAGGCACCCACGCGCGUGCUCUGCGAUGCCGACCCAGCGAAGCCUCGCGACAAUCGUCUCUGGAAGUCCUCUGGCGUCCGUUCCUGAUGUCCACGCGAUCGCCAAGGCGGCCAUCUCCCUCUCGUCCAGCAUACCCGAGCGGCCAUAUCCCAUGUGCGGCGUACCAGGCCUGCUCGAAGCCCUCCAAAAUCCUUUCAUGUAAUCUCUCGUCAUGUGAUUAGUCCUGCACCCUCCAGCUUCUUCACGUGGCUAGCACAUCAGAUUGCGAUCCGUUUCCGAGCUUCGAGGGAUCAAAGAUCAAGCGUUGGCGACCAAGUGAUCCAGUUCUUCGAGUUCCACAAGGUUGAAGACCCUGAGCAUCUGUUUAGUGAAG